GCAUUUUUUGAUUCGUUUCGAUCGAUAGUAAUGGAAUAUUUGAUAUUAAAUGAAAUAUGAAUGAAACAAUGAUGUUAAUUACAUGUUAAUUUUCAUUAUCUGAAGUAAAUUCACUUAAUGAGAUUAAGAGUAAUGUUAGUAGAAGGUUGUCAAUAAAUGAGUUAGAAAUCAUAAUUAAUCAUAUUAUUGUCGAGGAAAAGUGUGAGUUUUAUUAGUAAUAAUUUAUAUAGAUAAAGCAGAAAUAAUCUUUUUUCAUUUUCUUUUUUGGUUAUUUGGCGUUUUUCGCAAAAAUGUUUUACCGCAAAAAGAUGAGAAAAUGAAGAGAGAGAGAGAGAGAGAAAUAUUAGAGCAUAAAGAGUUACAAAUACAAAAGCGGUAAAAAAUUAAAUGCUCUUUGUAUGCUUCGAUUGUUAGUCUUUGUUGCUCUUAUAUUAUAUACAACUGUUUUAAACAUUUUAGCGAGUAUAGAUAUCUAAACGAUAUGGCAACUCAAUUAUACGCGAUGCAAAGUAUGAAAAUUUUUUGGCAUCUUUAAAUAUAGCGAAGCUUUUCCAAUACAUUUUUGCCGCUCGUAUGGGAUAUAGAAAUUUGCAAUAUAUUUCGUUCGAAAUUAAAUCGCACAUUCGUAUAUACGAGAUUACGCACACAUAUAUGUAUGUGUGUGUGUGUGUGGGUGUGUAUGUGUGUGUGCAUAUAUGUAUAUCUAUCUCUACGUGCGCUUGAACUAUAAUCGUAAAAAAUUUAUCCGUCUCGCGUUCUAUCGAAAAAAGUUUACAGCGAUCGCGAAAAUAUCGAAUAGUAAACAAGCGCUUGAGCAGAGGUAGAUCGACGCGAAGAACAAUACGAAUUGAUUUUUUCGUUUUUUUUCUAUUUUUUGUUCUUUUUUUUAUACUGCCGCCGGAUUAAUUUUAUCGUCAGUAACGAAUUUUCUGAAACUUAUACGGGAUUUUCGAGACUUAUUAAAUAUCAUUGCUUCACGAAAUCGUGUUUCGUGAUUAGCUCUUUAAAAAUGCUGUUCAAUCAAUCUCGUUAUAGGUCAAUCGUUUUUUUCUUUUCUUUUUUUUAUUACAAUAAUAUACGUUAUUUAAUUUAAAGCAGAUUUUUUGAAAUUUCAGGCUCGAUAUAAAAGCAAAAACAGAUGUUUGUAGUAAAAUUGUUGUACAGUUAUUAAAAUAUUAUAUCCCGUAACGAUAAUAGAUAGUACUUUUAAUUGAAGUUAUUAAACUAUGAACACUUUUACGUUAUUAUUCUUAAGAUGAAUACGAUCCGAGUGAAUUGAACGAAAUGAAAUCGAUUCGAUUUAAUGCAUUUACAUAUAUUAGUCUUUUCACAAAUAUCUAGCAUCUGUAAUCUUCGAUAGAAAGGACAUUGUAAAAAGCAUCCGUCAUUAUCUUUCUGUCUUGAAGGCACUCAAUAACGGGAGAAUUCCACGGUGACUGUUCCUUCAUCGCCGGCACAGCCUCAUUAAUCUUAAUAAUCACCUUAUCGAGCUCAUCCGGACUCCCACGUAGAUGUAUACCUAUAAAUCAUCGACGCAAGUAUUAUGCCGGGUACGUCGAAUCGUUGCUUAAAUCAUUAACGCAUAUAGAAAAUAAUAACGGCUUCGAGGAAGGACGACAAGAGGUAGCUCAUUAUAGUACGGUUGUCACGUAAACAGAGCGUCAUUACGGAUCGAUCGUUUAUAAAGAUCGCGUAAGAUCGAUGUCGAUGAGAAGAGAAAAAAAAAGUAAGAAAGGAAGAGUUUGUCUUAUUAUAAGAAAAAAGUUUUGAACGUGCCCUUGGGAAAAGAAUUUUCGUCUUAUUCUCGUUUCACAAUUAAAAAGUUUGACGAAAAUAGAGAAGUAAAGUUUGUUUCUCUCAUGAAGGAGAAGGCGGCGCUUAAUGGCUCGUCCUUCCAUUGUGACUUUGGAACUGCCAGUCUGAAAGUACGUUCGGAGAACGAUCUUGGGUUUGGAGUCGUCUCUUCGUAUCCGGUCUCACGUGUGGUCCAAGUUAUGCCGUCAUGCUCGAAAGGCAAAGUCCGCGUUACAUCGCUAAACGAACUGAGCCUCAUUGUCCGCGUUCGCGGCGCGUACAAGCCGAAGACGCGGCCACCAAUCUCGCAGCCUCGAUGCGUCCAAACUUUAUUUCGAACUCGAUCGAAUGAUUGGACGGGUUGUCCGAUCGGAAAUAUAAUAUCGCUUUAUCGCGAAUCUACUUUGUAUCAGACGGAUAAUAAAGGGAAGAAGAUUGUUUCUGAUGUUUGAAAGGAGAAGAAAGGAAAUGAGAAGAAGAAAAAAGAAAAAGAAAGGAAAGAAGAACGAAGACCAGUAGCACGUGCCAACACUCUUGCUCGUUACGAAUCACAUCCUUGUUCUUCGGCCAUUGUCAGAGAUCUCUUUUGGUUGGUGCGUUCGCCGAAACAUUUCGCUUGCGUUUGGGUUACACUGCAUGCAGCACUGCUUGCGUGGCCUCCGCAUUUGCUACCACGCGCGCUAAUGAUGCCGGUUAUUAGGAGAACGCCGCUCGAACUUUCGUGCUCGCGAAAGAAAGGAAAGAGAAGAUGGCGAUGGAAGGAGAAACGGUCAUUAUCGAGGAUGACUGGCAGGGAGGUCAUCGUCGUCGCUCCAGUCGAACGCUUCUACCGAACUGGACCUUACAAUAUAUUCUCUGUCCAAGUUCAACUCAGUUCAUGGAGAAUCGAGACUCGUAACUCGAACGGAAGUUUAACGUAUUCGUUUUGGCAUGCUAGUGGAAGAUUGUCUUGGAACUCAAGAGGAAAAGGGACGAAGAGCAAACGAAACGUUUAAGAUCUUGCAACGAAGUAACGCUUGUUAUAGCGAUUAUGUGAGAAGGAACGUUUAAUUGGAGUACCUCCAGGAAACGUUGGAAUUAGGAAGAGAAACCUAGCUGAGCUAUGAGUCUCAGCUACGAUAAGAUUCUUGAAAAGGGAUGAGGGUGGUUGGUUGAAGUUGCAUCAGAAACACGAGGGUGUUACCGGAAGCCGGCUUAUCGGCUAAUGUCACUUUAACAUUGUAUCGAGUUAUCGGACGACUCCUUGCGAGCCGAUUAAUUAAGCUAAUUAUCGUUUCCGCACGGAUGGCCACGGUCGGAGAGUACGCUCGGAGACAAAUCGUUUUCGCGUGCACUUCGGGGAAGGCGUUACGCUUCUCGCGUCUCUUGCGAAUCCUUGGAGUAGUAAGAGGAAUCUUCUUUCACGCCUCGUUGCACGAACGCCUAUUAACCUUCCUGAGGUACUGAGAUGCGAUUGUUGACUGUUUGAGAGAAAGGAAGAAAGAGAAUUCGUUCGACAGGAAAGAAGGAAGGAAGGAAGGAAGGAAGGAAGAUCGAGACACGGAGUAUCCAUGAUGACAAGAAGGAUCCGAAGAUGAGCAGGAGAGGACGGGAGGGCCGCAUUCCAUCGUUCUGAGAUUUAUUUGCCGAAUAAACGUUGAGGAGGUAUUUUUAAUGGUCGACAAUAGUGGCCCGAUAGUGAUCUCAGAAACGUAUUGUCGUUCGCUGUCGUAUAUAAUCCCGGAGGCAUCGACGCGACCAACAAAACGGCUUCUCUCCCUCUCCCUUUCUUUCUCUCUCUCUCUCUCUCUCUCUCUCUCUCUUGCAUACGCCAGAUCUUUCCUCGUAUCUCUCCUCCUCGGCUUAUCGAGCACCGAAGAGGAGACGAUCCUUAUUCCUCUCUUCGAUCUUUCGACCUGCGAUUAUUCUCUCUCUUUUUCUUUAUCUUCCUCUCUGACUCUGUCCUCUCUCUCUCUCUCCCUUUCUAGCUCUCUGUUUCUUUUCUCCUCUUUCCUUUCUUUCGAUCAACUAUCGUCUCUCGUUCUCGUUCUCACCACUCUAACGUGCACUACUCACCUGCCGAACCCCUUUGAAGUCGACUCUUUUGUAAAUCGACGUUAUUAUUCUAAUUGAAUACUUGUCUCCCGGAGGGAUAUCUCUUCUCGCCAAAGGUUGUUAUGUACUUACAUACAAUGCAGCGCGUACCGAUUAAAUUGAGACUAAUGUAAAGAGAAAUCGUGGCUUUUCUAUCUUUUCUUCACUCAUUCUUUUAUUCCCUUUUUCAAGUAUGAUAUGUAUACCUUAAAGCGGUCGUAUUUUAUCUCGUUCAUUUAUUUAUUCAUUUUAUUCUCAAUCGGUAUAUUCCAUUUCUUUUUGCUGUAACUUGCAAUAUUUUUUGUUUCAACGAUACCACAGUUAUCUAUAUUUUCUACGAGUAAGAAUGCGCAAGUAAGAUUUCAAGAUGUUGCCGAUGUGUCUCGAAGUCCCCAAAAGACCGAGAUUAUAAUACCAGUAGAACGUCCGAUCGGUAUUUUUCGCGAAAGGUUUGACGAUUUUUCGUUUGGUCUCUUGACUUUUUCAUGGUCAGGUGUGACAUGAAGAAUUCAUGACGAGUUUUUCAGAGACGUUAUCGAGCAUUCUGACAUCUCGAUCGAUGCCCAGAAUCUGACGGAUUCUCUCUGGUUCCUCGCGUAUAAAUCGGACCGCAUUCCACCCGGAACACGAAAGCCACACUCCCUCACGUAGAAUGGCUAACGCGAGAAGAAUGAGCACGAUCCUCGGUGCUUAUA